CGGCCCCCAGGGAUCAUUUUUAUAGUAUGUGACUAGAGAAGUUUCUCUGAUCCUGUAGCGCACCUGAAACCACGGGGAGGAGCCAGAGCAUCCUCUCCUGAGCGUGAAGCUCUAGGGGUUGCUUCUGCAACUGCCUUUGGCCAUUGAUGAUCGUUCUUCCCUUCCUUUGAAAGGGGUAGAGGGAGAGGAUGCAGUCGGAGUGGU